rnacentral:rRNA from 1 species
CGGAGCCACGAGUGGUAACCAUGUUUAUUGGGCCUAAAGCGUUCGUAGCUGAUUUGGCAAAUCUUUUGCGAAAUUGUUGGGCUUAACCCAACAAUGUGCAAAAGACACUACCAAGUUAGGGACCGGGAAGAGAUAGAGGUAUUCUUUGGGAAACGGUUAAAUGUUUUAAUCCUUAGAAGACCACCAAUGGCGAAGGCAUCUAUCUAGAACGGGUCUGACAGUGAGGAACGAAAGCUAGGGGAGCGAACCGGAUUAGAGACCCGAGUAGUCC